GCAAACAGGAAGACAGACGAUGGCUCUCGCACAUUCAUAACUCUGACAGAGAGGCAGUGACUCUUGUCUCAAACCGACGGACACAAUUAUGGUUCAUUUGACUGUAAUUCACCCUCCCAGCAGAGUGGCUUUAAUUGACUGCAUCUCGGGAGAGAUUGCACUCCAACCCUGAAGCCAUGGCCACUUCUUGUAAUAGGCUUUGUUUUCAUUAAUUAGUAGACGGCGCUGCUAACCGGUGGCGUCCCCAGCCCACUGUGCGGGCGCUGCAGAUCACGCUGCCUGCCCAGGCACUGUUCCCCACUGCCCCGCAAGCCAACGCCGUCGGGCGCUCAUUCACCGAGCGGGUCCCCAUUUCUGAAAGGCGACCAGAGCAAGCAGCACCUGAUGCACGCUUUGCUAACGGAGAGCUUUCUCUGUGCUGGCCAGUGAGGUACAGGAUGCGGCUCUACAUCCUGUGUUCGGGUCAGUGUGUGCAAAGCCCUUUCGCUGUGAAGCCCGGCGACAUGGCUGUGUGCCAGGGCACCGAGCAGCAGGACAUGAGCUCUGACGACAAUACGCAGAUCAAUCAGUCCACCCCGACAUGUGAAAAGCAGCACAGGGUCCUCCCGCUACGCAAGACUCUUCCUCUAUCUCCCACCUUAAAAAUGAAAUUAUUUUUGAUUGGGUACACUAAAAAAACACACAAAUAAAUGGAUAAUUAUGACUGUAAAAUUUAAAGUUGCAUACGAGCAUUUUUAAAAGCAUAACUAUUAAAACACAAUGGUGAUUUCUGUAGACGCCGGUACGUUGCUUCCACAUGUUUCAUGACUCUGAUUGGAUGUAUGGAUUGAAGACAGCUGCAGACCCAGACGCCAUUUGAAGAGGGAUUAAUCUUCAGAGCUACAGUAUGUGACUGUCACCGAGUGGCAAGACACAGCUUCUCAAGGUGGCCUGUGCUAUGAGCUGGGAAUCCAGAUGCUGGGCGCGGACCCUGGGGAAGAAGAAGAGUGCUGCGACAAUAGACAGGGGUAUUAAUUAUCAUGGAGAGGUGCU